rnacentral:rRNA from 1 species
CCUACGGGUGGCAGCAGUGGGGAAUAUUGCACAAUGGGGGAAACCCUGAUGCAGCGACGCCGCGUGAGUGAAGAAGUAAUUCGUUAUGUAAAGCUCUAUCAGCAGGGAAGAAAAUGACGGUACCUGUGUAAGAAGCCCCUGCUAACUACGUCCCAGCAGCCGCGGUAAUACGUAGGGGGCAAGCGUUAUCAGGAUUUACUGGGUGUAAAGGGAGCGUAGACGGCAGUGCAAGUCUGGAGUGAAAGGCGGGGGCUCAACCCCCGGACUGCUCUGGAAACUGUACGGCUUGAGUGCAGGAGAGGUAAGUGGAAUUCCUGGUGUAGCGGUGAAAUGCGUAGAUAUUAGGAGGAACACCAGUGGCGAAGGCGGCUUACUGGACUGUAACUGACGUUGAGGCUCGAAAGCGUGGGGAGCAAACAGGAUUAGAUACCCCAGUAGUC